rnacentral:misc_RNA from 1 species
GGUCCACAGGCUUUACCCACUUUCAUUCUCUUAAGUGCUUCCUUUACUUCUAAAGAUCUAAUCCUUCUAGUAUAAUUUACAUUCUUUUCUAUUGCUCUGUAAUUAUAUUCACAUUAUUACCAUUUUGACAAUUAUUAAAGAGAUCAUCAAAAUAAUUUCUCUUUCUUUAAUGUCUUCAUCUUUCACCAACACUUUUCCUUCUUUAUCCUUAAUGCACCUAACUUGAUUGAGAUCUUGACAUUUCCUUU